rnacentral:lncRNA from 1 species
CUUGGUGUAUUUGAGAAUUGAGAGACAUUCUCUCUUGGCUAAUCAUCGUGAUCAUACACGGCGCACACGUACAGUGCAUACACACACAUGCAACUUCACGAACGCGUGGAAGGCAUGAUUGCAGACAAAAGGAAGAGGUCCCAUCCCUCUCUUAACUACCUAAUCAUCAUCAUGGCAGCGCUGGAUCAACAUGCAUGCCGACUACCACCUAGUAGACAGCACAUUUUCAAGCAAAGGUUAGAACUUCAGUCGCGCCAUCACAUACUUCUGAAUUUUCAGGCAAAAUAAGUGGCAAGUCCUUUCUGGUUUCAUGCAUCAAGAAAAUGAAUAAUAAACAAUAUUAAGAGAAAAAAAGAUAGUAGAAAAGAAAUUAAAUAGGGGAAAAAAAGACACUAGCAAUAAAGAAACAAGACUCUAGCUAGGUAGGAGUAGUUGCUGUAUUUUAUAGCCGGGACGCCACUCUACCUCUGCUGAGGCUCCUUAUCAUCUGUCUGAAACGCUUUCCCUCCUUCC